UACGGUGAUAUCACGUGGAAACAACGUUUCUCGUACGAUCACCGAAGUUAAAAACGGCGUGCCUGGUCUGUACUUGGAUGGGUGACUCCUUGGGAAUAUCAGGUGAUGUAAU